GUAGUCUCGCACAGAUGCAUAUCAAUAAGCGGAGGAAAAGAAACUAACAAGGAUUCCCCUAGUAACGGCGAGUGAAGCGGGAAGAGCUCAAAUUUGAAAUCUUAAAGGGUUUCCCUUUACGAAUUGUAGUUUAAAGAAGUGUUUUCUGUCGAGGUUUUGGUAAAAGUUCUUUGGAAUAGGACAUCAUAGAGGGUGAGAAUCCCGUAUUUGACCUUUACUUUCAACUUUGUGAUACACUUUCAAAGAGUCGGAUUGUUUGGGAAUGCAGUCCAAAAUGGGUGGUAAAUUUCAUCUAAAGCUAAAUAUUGGCGAGAGACCGAUAGCGAACAAGUACCGUGAGGGAAAGAUGAAAGGAACUUUGAAAAGAGAGUUAAACAGUACGUGAAAUUGUCAAAAGGGAAGCGUUUGACACCAGUGUUGUUUUUCUGAAAAUCAAUUAAAGAACUGUUUAUGCUAAGCUGUUUAGACUUUAUCAGCUAAUCUGUUUAGUUUUGAGCUUUUCUUUAAUGCACUUUUCAGUUAACAAGUCAACAUCAAUUUCUUUUGCUGUAAAAAAGCUUGAGGAAGGUGGCUUGAGAUUCGUCUUAAGUGUUUAUAGCCUCUUGCCUAUGCAGUCGGAGAGAUUGAGGUCUGCAGCGUAGAUCCUUCGAGGCUAAAUGCAUUUGCGCUAAGUUAUAGCAUUUUAUAGACAACUUGUUGACUAUGAUUUGUCUUGUAGCUUACUCGCUUAUGUUAUUUUACCUACGCUUAGGAUGUUGAUCUGUAGUGCGUGCGC
rnacentral:rRNA from 1 species